UACGUAGGGUGCAAGCGUUAAUCGGAAUUACUGGGCGUAAAGCGUGCGCAGGCGGUGAUGUAAGACGUGUGAAAUCCCCGGGCUUAACCUGGGAACUGCAUUUGUGACUGCAUCGCUGGAGUGCGGCAGAGGGGGAUGGAAUUCCGCGUGUAGCAGUGAAAUGCGUAGAUAUGCGGAGGAACACCGAUGGCGAAGGCAAUCCCCUGGGCCUGCACUGACGCUCAUGCACGAAAGCGUGGGGAGCAAACAGG
rnacentral:rRNA from 1 species